rnacentral:rRNA from 1 species
GACGAACGCUGGCGGCGUGCCUAAUACAUGCAAGUUGAGCGCUGAAGGUUGGUACUUGUACCAACUGGAUGAGCAGCGAACGGGUGAGUAACGCGUGGGGAAUCUGCCUUUGAGCGGGGGACAACAUUUGGAAACGAAUGCUAAUACCGCAUAAAAACUUUAAACACAAGUUUUAAGUUUGAAAGAUGCAAUUGCAUCACUCAAAGAUGAUCCCGCGUUGUAUUAGCUAGUUGGUGAGGUAAAGGCUCACCAAUGCGAUGAUACAUAGCCGACCUGAGAGGGUGAUCGGCCACAUUGGGACUGAGACACGGCCCAAACGCCUACGGGAGGCAGCAGUAGGGAAUCUUCGGCAAGGGACGAAAGUCUGACCGAGCAACGCCGCGUGAGGGAAGAAGGGUGUCGGAUCGUAAAACUCGGUUGGUAGAGAAGAACGUUGGUGAGAGUGGAAAGCUCAUCAAGUGACGGUAACUACCCAGAAAGGGACGGCUAACUACGUG